rnacentral:rRNA from 1 species
UGGGGAAUUUUGCACAAUGGGGGAAACCCUGAUGCAGCGACGCCGCGUGAUUUAGAAGGCCUUCGGGUUGUAAAAAUCUUUUCUAUGGGAAGAAAAUGACAGUACCAUAGGAAUAAGGACCGGCUAAUUACGUGCCAGCAGCCGCGGUAAUACGUAAGGUCCGAGCGUUGUCCGGAAUCAUUGGGCGUAAAGGGUACGUAGGCGGGUAAGCAAGUUAGAAGUGAAAUCCUAUAGCUCAACUAUAGUAAGCUUUUAAAACUGCUCAUCUUGAGGUAUGGAAGGGAAAGUGGAAUUCCUAGUGUAGCGGUAAAAUGCGCAGAUAUUAGGAGGAAUACCGGUGGCGAAGGCGACUUUCUGGCCAUACCCUGACGCUGAGGUACGAAAGCGUGGGUAGCAAACAGG